rnacentral:rRNA from 1 species
ACCUGAUCCAGCCAUGCCGCGUGUGUGAUGACGGCCUUAGGGUUGUAAAGCACUUUCAGCAGUGAAGAUAAUGACAUUAACUGCAGAAGAAGCCCCGGCUAACUUCGUGCCAGCAGCCGCGGUAAUA